rnacentral:lncRNA from 1 species
GCAGAACGCCCAGAAUAUGUUCUAUAAGUUAAGAUAGGCGACGAUGCCAAACACAUACAGGAACCAACUGUAUGUAACUUGUCUGUGUAAGCAGUAUAUAAGAGAUCUAACGGGACUGAGUUCACUUCAGACCGGUACUUUAUGCAUCUAAAGUUUGACUGUGACCUCUCCAGCUUGCUGUUAAUAAACAAUGAUUCAUUUAAGAUUGACUUUGAUUGUCCCAAGUGUAGAAUUUACACAACAAUUUGGCAUCAACGAACAGGAUGAUUGAUUCUGCCUGCGGUGCUUUCAAGUGACAGUCUGCGAGGAAAACCAGUGGCGCAUUUCAUGAAGCGUAAGGGAAAUUCCCAUCAGACCAAAAGAGGAAGAGGACCCGCUCAGACCAGACCCUUACUGUGAGCUGCCCAAGAGGAGACACAUCAUCCGCGAACAAUUGAGGGACAUGUCUUCCUAACUUCAGUUGUCUUGGGAGGAGGACCCCUGCUCCCAGUCCUCUAGCCCAGCCGGUUUCCACUGUGCUGGACCUGAACCUGAACCUGCUAACCCCUCUUCUUCCCUUGGCUCACUGUGGGCUCUGCUGCUACAUCACUGUUCUCUGCAAACUGGACAUGGAGAGACACAGUCAGGAUUAUCCCUAAUAAAGAAGACUCAACAACUAGCCUGGUGACAGAUGGUGUCAUGCCAACAUUUGACAACCAUCAUAGGAGUUGGCUGUGCAGAACAAACAGAUCUGGGACCAGGCUAGAAAAUAAUUGCAAGACUGUAAAAAUGUGUACAUUGAGAUUUUACUGUUACCUGUCAAUCGACGAUGGAGGCACCAAAGAAGUGCUGAAUGUGAAGAGACUAAUUCAACAAAAUAAAACAACAUCAAUUAACAACACUGCCACCAACCAAAACUUUGUGUCACUCACCCACAGUUGAUUGGGCAAUGCCAAGUAAGUCAGCAUUUCAGCAACAGCACCCAACAUCUGGUCUGUCCGUCCCUGGAUCUUCUGAAGAGCGUUCAUCCUUCCUUCAAUACCUCUCUUAUUCUACUUCCCCCUCUCGUUCUUCCUUUCCCCUCCUGAAAGUCCUCACUCUGUUUUUGCCCAUCUCUCUCCUCAUUCAUUCUCUCUUGUUUUCUCCUCCUCUCCUCCACAGUGUCACUAUUUCUCUCCUCCUCUCCUCCAGUCUGUCACUAUUUCUCUCCUCCUCUCCUCCACAGUGUCACUAUUUCUCUCCUCCUCUCCUCCACAGUGUCACUAUUUCUCUCCUCCUCUCCUCCAGUCUGUCACUAAUUCUCUCCUCCUCUCCUCCACAGUGUCACUAUUUCUCUCCUCCUCUCCUCCAGUCUGUCACUAUUUCUCUCCUCCUCUCCUCCACAGUGUCACUAUUUCUCUCCUCCUCUCCUCCAGUCUGUCACUAUUUCUCUCCUCCUCUCCUCCACAGUGUCACUAUUUCUCUCCUCCUGUCACGUCCUGACCAGUAAUAGGGGUUAUUUGUAUUAUUUGGUCAGGGCGUGGCAGAGGUAUUUUUGUUUUGUAUGGUGGUUUUUUUUUGUGUAUAGCUUAGAGGGGUGUGUUAUUUAUGUGUUCCGGGGUUUUGUGGUGUAUGUUUUAGUAUGAGUAGGUUCUAGGUUAAGUUUUCUAUGUGCAGAUUUGGUUGCUGGACUCUCAAUUGGAGGCAGGUGUUUCUAGUUGCCUCUGAUUGGGAGUCCUAUAAGUAGGUGUGUGUUUUGUUUGUCACUUGUGGGUAGUUGUAUGUUAGCACUGCUUUUGUUUAGCCUGCUACACUGUUCCUGUCGUGAGUUUUGUUUAUAGUUUUUUUUCCUCGUGUUCACAUUUAAAAUAAAUGAUGAUGAGCAUGCAAUCCGCUGCAUAUUGGUCCACUUUGUCCGACAGCGAUUUUAACAUCUUCUGACGAAGAGGAAUGUGACACAGAGGGUAUUUGUUUUAUGUGGUUCGGGGGAUAUGAGUAUUAUAGAGGGGUGUUUUAUUUAUGUAUUACGGGGUUUUGGUGUAUGUUCUGGGUUUUGUAUUCUAGGUUGGUUUUCUAGUUUGUUUAUUUCUGUGUGGCUCCCGAUCAGGAACAGCUGUACAUCGUUGUUCCUGAUUGGGAGUCAUAUAUUAGUUGCGUGUUUUCACCUGGGGAUUUGUGGGUAGUGUAUUUCGCACUGCUGUGAGUAUUAGCCUGUGAAACUGUUGGUCUGUCGUUCUUUGUUUUCUUUUUUUUUCUGUGUUCACAUUUAUUUAAUAAAAUAUAAUGAUGAACAUGCAACCCACUGCGCCUUGGUCCUCCCUCUCCUACGACAGCCGUUACAGAACUACCCACCAAAAAUGGACCAAGCAGCAGAGGAGGGAGCAACCGAUGGACUAUCGUGAGACAUGGGCAGAACUGAGGAUAAGCAUUUCCAGGGCUAUGGAGGAGUUAAGGGAGCCUGAGAGGCAGCCCCAAUAAUGUUUUGGGGGGGGGGCACACGGGUAGUUUGGCUGGGCGAGGAUUGAGCCCCAGGCCAAAUCCCCGUACCUUUUUUGGGCAACAUAUGACUGGACAGGUCCCGUGCUUUGGGGUGAUGGGUGCUGUGGCGAGGCCGGGUAUUUUCAGGCCGGUAUGCGCAGUACCAGCACCCCGCAUGUGCCAGGGGAAAGUGGGCAUCCAGCCAGUAGGGGUGAUGCCAGUCCUGCACUCGAGACCGCCAGUGCGCCUCUACGGUGUUGCGUGUUUCCCGCUACACACACUAGCCUUGAGGUCUCCAGGCUGGCACGUCCAGUACCAGCACCACGCAUCAAGCUUCCAGUGAGUCAGCCCAGUCCAACUCAGCCUGUCCCCGCUCCCCGCACUAGCCCGGAGGUGCGUGUCCCCAAACUGGCACUUCCAGCACCACGCAUCAGGCUUCCAGUGCGUCAGACCAGGUCCGAGUGUCCGGCAACAGUGCCUCGUCCAGAGUGUCCGGCAACAGUGCCUCGUCCGGAACCAGGUGAGACGGCCCGCGACCCGGAACCGAGUGAGCCUACCCGCGACCCGGAACCGAGUGAGGUUUACAAUAACUUUGAAUUGUGUUAGUCUGCCUACAACCCGGAACUGUGUGACUCUGCCUACGGUCCGGAGACAAGACUCUGCCUACAGUCUGGAGGACAGUAGGCCAGAACCUAAGCCACCUCCAGUAUAGGUGGGUUGGGGAGGGGGGGUGUAGCACAUGUGCUGUCGUUGACGGCAGCCACCCUCCCUUCCCUCCCUUUAGUUAGGGGUUUAUUUUGUUUUUUUGUUGAGGUGCACCGGGGUCUGCACCUUUAGGGGGGGGGCACUGUCACGUCCUGACCAGUAUAGGGGUUAUUUGUAUUUGUAGGUUGGUCAGGAUGUGGCAGAGGGUAUUUGUUUUAUGUGGUUCGGGGGUUAUGAGAAUUGUAGAGGGGUGUUUUAUUUAUGUAUUACGGGGUUUUGGUGUAUGUUCUGGGUUUUGUAUUCUAGGUUGGUUUUCUAGUUUGUUUAUUUCUGUUUGGUCUGUGUGGCUCCCGAUCAGGAACAGCUGUACGUCGUUGUUCCUGAUUGGGAGUCAUAUAUUAGUUGGGUGUUUUCACCUGGGGAUUUGUGGGUAGUGUAUUUCGCACUGCUGUGAGUAUUAGCCUGUGAAACUGUCGGUCUUUGUUCUUUUUUUUUCUGUGUUCA